GGUAAGAUGGCCGAGUUGGUCUAAGGCGUCAGGUUAAGGUCCACCUUAGCACAACCUCCUGAUCUCGUUUACGGGGCGUGAGUUCGAAUCUCACUCUUAUCA